rnacentral:RNase_P_RNA from 1 species
CCGGGGGGCCGGGCAGCCGCGUCGGGUCGCAAGGCCUGCCGAGGAAAGUCCGGGCUCCACGAAACAAGGGUGGCGGGUAACGCCCGCCGGGCGGACCGCUGCGAGAAAUCGGGGCGGCUUCGCCAAGGGAAAGUGCCACAGAGAGCAGACCGCCGAUGGACCUUCGGGUCACAGGCAAGGGUGAAAGGGUGCGGCAAGAGCGCACCGCGCUUCCGGCAACGGCAAGCGGCACGGCAAACCCCACCCGGAGCAAGGCCGAAUAGGGACGGCGCGCUCGGCCGCAAGGCGCAGGGCAGGGGUGUUUCGCCCCGUGACCGUCCGGGUUGGCUGCUGGAGCCUUGCGGCAACGCAAGGCCGAGAGGAAUGGCUGCCGGCGAGGAUACGGUGCCGCCUUAUGGCAUACCGUCCGCGUCACAGAACCCGGCUUACAGGCCCCCCGGUGCG